GAGGGCCCCGCACAAGCAGCGGAGCGUGUGGUUUAAUUCGAUGUUACACGAAGAACCUUACCAGGGUUUGACAUGCAAGUGGUAGGAAACCGAAAGGUGACCGACCCUUCGGGGAGCUUGCACAGGUGCUGCAUGGCUGUCGUCAGCUCGUGUCGUGAGAUGUUCGGUUAAGUCCGCUAACGAGCGCAACCCUCGCUGUGUGUUAUAUGUGUCACACGGGACUGCCGGUCUUAAGCCGGAGGAAGGUGGGGAUGAUGUCAAGUCAGCAUGGCCUUUAUAUCCUGGGCUACACACACGCUACAAUGGCCAACACAAUAGGUUGCUAAGCCGCGAGGUGGCGCCAAUCCAUAAAGUUGGUCUCAGUUCAGAUUGUAGGCUGCAACCCGCCUGCAUGAAGAUGGAGUUGCUAGUAACCGCAGGUCAGCUAUACUGCGGUGAAUACGUUCCCGGGGCUU
rnacentral:rRNA from 1 species